rnacentral:ncRNA from 1 species
GCAGAAAAAGCCAAACCCGUCGUGAGGCGGGGACGGAAAGCCACGGGUCUCAAUGAAACGAGAUAGCCGGGUUGCCUGGG